GUGCCUACGGGAGGCAGCAGUGGGGGAUAUUGCACAAUGGGGGGAACCCUGAUGCAGCGACGCCGCGUGGGUGAAGGAGUAUUUCGGUAUGUAAAGCCCUAUCGGCAGGGAAGAAGCAAGACGGUACCUGACUAAGAAGCCCCGGCUAACUAUGUGCCAGCAGCCGCGGUAAUACGGAGGGGGCGAGCGUUUUCCGGAUUUACUGGGUGUAAAGGGGGCGCAGACGGCAAUGCAAGCCAGGAGUGAA
rnacentral:rRNA from 1 species